rnacentral:rRNA from 1 species
GGUGAGUAACGCGUAGGUAUCUAUCCUCGGGUGGGGGACAACCACGGGAAACUGUGGCUAAUACCGCAUGAUGACUGAGGUCCAAAGGCGCAAGUCGCCUGGGGAGGAGCCUGCGUCCGAUUAGCUUGUUGGUGGGGUAAAGGCCUACCAAGGCUCCGAUCGGUAGCUGGUCUGAGAGGAUGAUCAGCCACACUGGGACUGAGACACGGCCCAGACUCCUACGGGAGGCAGCAGUGGGGAAUAUUGGACAAUGGGCGAAAGCCUGAUCCAGCAAUGCCGCGUGGGUGAAGAAGGUCUUCGGAUUGUAAAGCCCUUUCGACGGGGACGAUGAUGACGGUACCCGUAGAAGAAG